CACGCAGUAAACGAUGAAUACUAGCUGUAUGCGAUAUACUGUAUGUGGCACAGCGAAAGCGUUAAGUAUUCCACCUGGGGAGUACGUUCGCAAGAAUGAAACUCAAAGGAAUUGACGGGGGCCCGCACAAGCGGAGGAACAUGUGGUUUAAUUCGAUGAUACGCGAGGAACCUUACCCGGGCUUGAAAUGCAGACGACCGAUCAGGAAACUGAUCUUCCAGCAAUGGCGUCUGUGUAGGUGC
rnacentral:rRNA from 2 species